GGCGGUGAACGGAGCCCGCUGUAAAUCUGCCGGCUCAGCCUUCCCAGGUUCGAAUCCUGGCGCCGCCA
rnacentral:tRNA from 1 species